rnacentral:rRNA from 1 species
GACGUACCACCCAAACGUUUAUUCGGAUUCACUGGGCUUACAGAGUCCGUAGGCGGUCAAGAAAGUUAGGCGUGAAAUCCCUCAGCUCAACUGAGGAAUAGCGCUUAAAACUACUUGGCUAGAGAGGGUCAGAGGUGAGCGGAACUGAUGGUGGAGCGGUGAAAUGCGUUGAUAUCAUCAGGAACACCGGUGGCGAAAGCGGCUCACUGGGCUUUUCGUGAGCGCUGAGGGACGAAAAGCUAGGGGAGCGAACGGG